rnacentral:lncRNA from 1 species
UGCAUAUGUAUGAAUUGGUGCGGUGGACGCACAGGUAAGAAUUGAUUUAUGAUGCAUAUGUAUGAAAUGGUGCGGUGGACGCACAGAUGAGUAUUUAAUUACUGUUAUGAUGAUGAUGAUAUAUAUUGAGCUCAAAUCCUGCACCAUGGUUUAGUGCUUAUAGUAUUCACCGCAUCGCACGCUCGCCUUGGAUCCAAGUAGAUGCUAGUCGUACAGUCCACGUGGAGUGGGUACGACAGACCAGUCGCGAGAGUGUUAGUGAGAUUCCGACUGGUGGGUGACCUUAGAUUAUGUGCACAGAUGAUUUAUGAGAAGCACUAGAGCGUAACUUGUGUGCAGAAGGCCGGACGGGUCACAGAGGUGACUCCGGUAGAGUGAUAAUGAUAGAUUUUGAGCUCUAGGUUCAACCGUAUAGGGCUAUUAGAGGGCCUACGGUUGAUUACUUUCUUGCACCUGAUAUGAUUAUGUUGAUGCAUUCAUACCUUAUUACUGUUGAGAUGAUGUGGCAUGGCAUAAUUAAUAUGAGAAAUGUUGAGAUGACAUGGCAUGGCAUGAUUGAUAAAGAGAUAAUGUUGAGAUAGUAAAAAUGAAGUUUUGAGAAUAUAUAUGUAUAUUUAUAUUUUACAUUUCUGGGAAAGUAUACAGGUUUUACGGAGAGGGGUUACAACGUUUUGAGAAAUGUUUGGAUUUGGAAAAGAAUUGUUUUACUGACCCACUCAAUUUUGGUUUUGCGCCCCUCCAGGUUCAGGAAUCACAAAGGUGUGGUGACUACGAGGAAUUCGACGGUGUUCUGACAGAUUGGACAAAAUUAGGACUCACCUUCGGGUGUAUCAAUUUAAAUUGUAUCUUAAAGCUUCCGUACUGUGCAAAUGGUUACGUCACUCUCACGUGACGGCCAGCAUGCCCUCCUUCGGGACGAGGUGUGUCAGUUGGUAUCAGAGCAUGGUUGCAAUCUUGGACAUCUUGAGAAGUUUCUAGUGAAUUCUGUCAGAACUACACCGCCUCGUAGCAAACCACGUAGUUAGAGGAACUUAGUCUCCCUGAUUUAGCGGGUUAGGGGAAACUAUUCUUAUGGUGAUUCAGUAUAUUAGAAAAAUGGACAUUUUAAGACGGGUUAUGAGUUGAAUUUGAAUCACUUAAGAGAAAUGAUGAACCUGAGGGAGCGGAGUGACGGUUUAACCAAUUGGAAAAGAUGUUUCAGAUUAUGCAAGUCAAAGGAAAUUUCCUUCUGACAGGUGGGUCGAGACGACUACCUGGUUUUGGUUAUGAAUUUGUAUCCUGGUGGAAACAGGAGUAUGAAUUGUUGUCACCAGAGGAAUCAGUCGAUUGAGAAUUGUUUAAGGACUUGUUUAAAGGAAAAGUUUAUCCCUCCGGCAUUUAUCGAUGGUAGUAAACAAGAGUUUACAAAUAUGAGACAAGGAAGGUGAUGAUCGAGGGAUAUUAUAGAAAGUUUUCAGACUUGCCUCGUUCCAUCCAGAUAUUGUUGUUAAUUUGGUGGAGGUGUUAUGUUGUUUUAAGCUGGGUGGCAAAAAGGGAAGUGGUAUUUUGGGUGACCACUAUCCAUUGUAGUUCUUAUCAGGAGUAUGCUAGAUGUUGUUGAAUCUUGAGGACUCUGAGAACAUGAGCAACGAGAAUAAAGAAGAAUAAGAAAUGAAUGGGAAUUAAAAGAAGACGAUAAAGUUAAUGAUUCGUCAUAUCAAGGAUAUAGAAAGAUUUAGAGCUUCGAAAGAAGUGAAGCUAGAGUUAAUUCUUCUAGCUGAGGUUUUAAUGUCGCUGGUCAGAAUAAAAGUGAUGGAUAUACUGGUAAUCCCAGAUAUUUGAGACAAGGUGUCUCGAGUAAAGGAAAUGUACCUUGUGCUGCAGGUACAAAAAAUUAACACUUUGGGAAGUGUGAAAUUAAUGAAUGUGUUUAUGUGAACAGAGGGGACACAGAAUUGUGAAUCGUCCCUAGAAUCAGUUGUACUCAAUAAUUUUCCAUGAUAUCAUAGUGUCGAUUCAGAAGAGUUAUAAACUUAGUAGUUUGGUCGGAUUGACUGUGAGUACAGAGAGAGAUUUUGAUGAGUUAUAUGUUCAGCUGUACAGACCAUGAGAAGUGGAUUCGACUGACACAUGCGAAAUUUGUGAGUUAUAGGCUCGGCCGUACCGACCACGCGGAGUGGAUCCGGCCGACGUAUUAUUGAGAUAAGAGUUGAAUCAGUCGUAUUGAUCAUUCUAGUUGACUUCGGCUGAUAUAUUUCUUAUUAUGUAUGUUAUUACCUUGAGAGUAGUAAAUAAAUGUAGUUGAGAUGAGUGUAUGUAUUUUGCAUUGAGUGACAAAAUAGUAAUGUUAUAUCUUUGAGAGUGGUUGCCUACUUAUCGAGACAACGAUGAUUUAUCAGUAUUGCGGGCUGCAGACCGUAAUAUUAAUAACUCAUUCGUGGAUUCGUUAAGUAAGUAAACCGGUAGAUUAUUUUGUACUUAUUCAGAAUGCUUAGUAGUAAUAGAGUAUGUAUUGUGUCGGUUAAAUUAUUUCCAUUAGAUUGGUUGGUUAUAAUUGUGACAAGACGGAAUGUUAAGGGAAACCAGUACUUUCCAUCGAUCUGGAUGACCAGAGAUUACUUUUGUAAGUAUGCAAAGUGAAGUGAGUUCAGCCAUUAUUUAUGCUGUGAAAGCAAAGAGAUUGUUUUGAAAGGCUGUCAAAAAAAUACUUAGCUCAUGUGGUGCUAAAUGAUGUUGUUUGGAGUAGUGUGAAUAAUGUCGAAAGGGUUAGACUUUUCUUGAUGUCUUCUCUGAAAGUAUACCUGGAUUGUCUUCAGGCAGAGAUAUGAGGUUCAUUAUUGAUUUGUUGCCAGGUAUAAAUUUAUGUUAAAGAUUGGUUCAUGAUGAGUUAAGGGAAUUGGAAAUUCAGUUGAGAGAAUUGGUUGAUAAAAGUUUUAUUCAACCUAGUACAACACUUUUGAGGAGCCCCAGUUUGUUGGUGAGGAAGAAAAUGGAUCUUGAGACUGUUCAUUGAUUAUAGACAAUGGAGUCGGGUAACGAUUGAGAACCGUUAUCCAUGGUGAUGUACUGAUGUUUAUUUAACCAGCUCAGAAGUAAUUGCGAAGAUUCAAAGAUUGAAUUGAGAUCUGGUUACUACCAAUUGAAUAUUAUAAGUGACGUUGAUCAUAAGAUGGUUUCUGGACUUGUUAUGGUCCUUAUAAAGUUUGGUGAUGCUAUGUGGAUACUCAUGCGGUUUUAUGAGUUAUUGGAUGAAGUAUUCCAAUAAUGCCUUGAUAAAUAGAUAUCAUUUUCAUUGAAGAUAUUCUGGUAUACUCUAAGCCUAGAGCAGAGCAUGUAAACGUAUUAAGUCGGUGAAGCAAAGAUUAAGAGAACGUUGGUUGUAUGCUAAGUUUAGCAAAUGCGAAUGUUGGAUGAAUCAAGUGGCAUUCUGAGAUUGGUUAUAUCUGCUUAAGGUAUUCAAAUGAAUUCUUAAAAGGCAGCAGAAUUGAGAAAUUGGAACAACCACGAGUCGUAAUUGAGAUUUGGAAUUUCUUAGCUUACCAGGCUAUCUUGGAUGGUUGUGAAAGAUUUUUCAGUCAUUGCUUUGUCAUUGACGAGACUGUUGAGAAAAGAGGUUAGGUAUGAGUGGGAAGGAAUUGUAAGCAAAGGAUUCAACAACUGAAGUAUUUCCUCCCUCAUGCACGUAUUUUGGUAUUCCCAGAGAAUAGUGGUAAUCAUAAAUUUUUGGUGAUGUUACAUUAAAUGUUCUUGGAUAUGUACUAAUGCAAAUGUUAGGGUGAUUGCAUACGUUUCACGACAAAUGGAAUCUCAUGAGAUGAAUUACCCUACUAGUGAUUUGGAAGUCACGAUUACCAUCCUUGCUGUGAAGUUAUGGAGACAUUAUAUUUUAGUGAGAAUGCAAGAUUUUACAAAUCAAAAGAGUCUUCAAUAUCCAUUACUUGGAAGGAUUUUGAUAUGAGGCAGCGAAAGUGAAUUGUAUUGCUUAAUGAACAUGAUUGUACGAUCAGGGUGAUCGUAAAGUUUGUUCUAGCUGAAGCACUUGAUAAGAAGACUGCAGUAAGAAUUAAUAUCUAGUACGUUUGCCAAGAGUAUCAUUUUGUGGAUUGAAAACCAACGGAAGAAAAAUUAAGAAUGGAAGAUCGAGAAGAAGUUAUACUUGUUAAGUAACAAGUUAGUACAUUUACCCCAGUGUUGAGUAACAACCUUUCCCAGACAGUGCAACACUACUUAUUUGUUUUAUGGAAAAGAGAAUUGGAUUACGGAACUGCUAAGUUUCUUAAGUAUGUUGGUUGUGCAGUUUCCGAAGUAACGCCAUAAGGACCAUGAAAUGUGUCACGUGAGUCGGUUUUUGAUGACUUGUGAAUGGAAUGUUUCUGGGUAGAGAAAGAUUCGAUCGAGAAAGAGUUUUAGUAGACCCUGAGACUAUGGAUGAGUCUCCUCAAAGUAUUCAGGUGAUUAAGUUAACCUGAAGUAACCAGGAAUGGCAAAAGAGAUCAACAGAUGGAUAUGCCACUAAUCGAGUGUGUAAGGUAAAUGGUUUGAUAUUUUUGGAAAAUUCACCACGAACAGAAAUGAAGAGAAUUGGAAAAGAGACAAGAUAAGAUUUAAACACAUCAGACCGUUUUGAUCAUUAAAAGAAUCAAUGAAGUUGCAUAUAAGUUUGUGAUGCCUUUCAAAAUUGGCUAAGGUGCAUAAUGCAUUAUAUUUCGAUGCGUUGUUGUCACUAGGUGGCAGAUUCGUCACAUGGGAUUCUGGUGCUGCAACUAUUUAGAAUUCAAUUGGAUUCGACUUGAUAAGGAACCAAGGACUACUUUGGAUUGGGAAAAGAAGGUCCUGAGAAUUAAGACAGAGUAAGUGGUAAAAGCUUUGUGAAGGAAAUCAUUCAGUAGAAAAUUAUGUGGGAGAAAGAGAAACGGAUGAGAGAGAUUUACCCGAAGCUAUUGUUGGAGUAUGGUUGAUUUAGUUGAUUGCUGGAAUUUCGGGGACGAAAUUCUAUAAGGAGGGAAGAUUGUCACAGCCCGUCCUGGAAUUUUAAUUCCGAGGACGUGAGAUGACCAAUGUGACCUUAAACGGGAUUAAGGUGUGUAAAUGUAUGACAUUUGUUUUACUUUAAGAUCCUAACUAGGGUUAGAUUUAUAUUUGUAUGUGUUAAUUUGUGCUUGGACUUAGGUAGGGCCUCCUACCCUGAAUUCCCUCCCUAAAACCCGUAACCUUUCUUCUCUCUUCUUCUUUCAUUCCAGACUCUCUCAUUCUCUCUCUUACUCUCGAACUCACGGCAACCACCAAGAACCACCACAAUCUUGUACCAACGUUCCAUUUAAGACCACCAUCGUGAUCCUGGGGACUUCACGAGCACGGGGAUACCAAUUUUCAGGUGAGUUUCACUUCGAAAACCCUAGUUUCUAAAAGUUGCCGUGAGAUGACACUGUUCAUGAGCUUUGAAUUGGUUACGUUUUAGGCUAAAACAAGAUCACAGCGAGUUUAGUAAGGUCCCAAGGAAGCUCGGAGUGCUUCGUUGGAAGUUUUUGGACGUAAGAACACGGAGAUCGACAAGUUCAAAGUUUGGCCGGAGCUUUCGAGGCGUUUUCCGGAGAAUCCCCGGCGAGUUAGGAGUCGAGGUAGGUAUCAAUCUCUUCGUCUCGUCAAGUACUACAACUUUCCUUUUUGUUUCACUCAAUUUCGUUGAGUAUUGAAGAAGUUAUACUCAUUUGAAAAAUACCCAGUUUCCGGCGACCUCCGAGGUUUUCGAGGCAGUUUCCGGCCAAACCACGGAGAACUAGGUGUUGUGCAAGGUACCAUUAUCUUUUUCUCUUCAAGGGCUACAACUUUCGUUUUUGAAUCACUUGAUUUCGUUGAGAAAUGACAAAGUUAUGGCAAUUUGAAAAACUGCCCGGAAAACGGCCGCCGGAAAAACCAGUCCGGCGACCCAAGGAAGAAGAAGGUGCUACAGUAAAAAUAAAAAAUAAAAAUAAAAUAAAAUAUAUUUUAAAAAUAUGUCGACGUCCGUGACGUCGAGUAGAUCACUGUGGUAUAUUCAUAUACCUACCUAAUUGAACACCGUAUGAGAAAGUUAUUGAAGAUUGUUGGUUAGGUGUUCAAAUAACGUUUUAUAGUUUUCACAUUUAGGUGAAAAUGUGAAUUGAUGAUCCGACCGUUGGAUCAUCACCAAACUUUGAUACGUUAUAGUACGUAAUAUUUGAGGAUUAUUGGAACUUACGGAUUGGGAAUCCGAGUUACGGAUCUUCUGGAAUUGGAAUUUUAAGUCCAUAAUAUAAAAUGUUAACCGUCACUUUAGUUUUGGAAAUUGACGGAAAUCCAACCGUUGGAUGGUAAUGAAAUUUUAGGAUGUUGUCCUAGAGGUAUAAUGUGGACCUCUGGAAGUUAUGGAUUUAAAAUCUGAGUGGCAGAUCUUCCGGAUCGAACUACGUAGUGACGUAUUUUAUAUAAGUUAAAUAUUCUAUCGAUAUGAAUUCUGAGGUUGGAUUUGAUUACUAUUCUAGGCGGCGCGAUCGUCGUGACGCCUUGAUGUGUGGGUGCUAGGGAGUUGUUGGAUGAACUCCAGGUGAGUGGGCAGUUUUGUCUUCCGUAUAUAUAUAUAUACUUAACGUUUUCCAGAAAUUGAAAAUGCAUGAAAUUAUGUUUAAAAUGAAAUGCAUAUGAGUUAUGUGGAAAAACGGGAAGUGAAAUACCAUGCAUAGAAUUGAUAUGAAAAGUAUAUAGAAAUGUGAGUUGAAAAUGCCAUGCAUGAAUUAAUAUAUGAUGCAUAUGUAUGAAUUGGUGCGGUGGACGCACAGGUAAGAAUUGAUUUAUGAUGCAUAUGUAUGAAAUGGUGGCGGUGGACGCACAGAUGAGUAUUUAAUUACUGUUAUGAUGAUGAUGAUAUAUAUUGAGCUCAAAUCCUGCACCAUGGUUUAGUGCUUAUAGUAUUCACCGCAUCGCACGCUCGCCUUGGAUCCAAGUAGAUGCUAGUCGUACAGUCCACGCGGAGUGGGUACGACAGACCAGUCGCGAGAGUGUUAGUGAGAUUCCGACUGGUGGGUGACCUUAGAUUAUGUGCACAGAUGAUUUAUGAGAAGCACUAGAGCGUAACUUGUGUGCAGAAGGCCGGACGGGUCACAGAGGUGACUCCGGUAGAGUGAUAAUGAUAGAUUUUGAGCUCUAGGUUCAACCGUUAUAGGGCUAUUAGAGGGGCCUACGGUUGAUUACUUUCUUGCACCUGAUAUGAUUAUGUUGAUGCAUUCAUACCUUAUUACUGUUGAGAUGAUGUGGCAUGGCAUAAUUAAUAUGAGAAAUGUUGAGAUGACAUGGCAUGGCAUG